UCCCCGGUAGUUCAAUCGGCAGAACGCGCGGUUCUGGACCGCGAGGCGCAGGUUCGAUCCCUGCCUGGGGAGCCA
rnacentral:tRNA from 1 species